rnacentral:rRNA from 1 species
UAGGGAAUCUUCCACAAUGGACGAAAGUCUGAUGGAGCAACGCCGCGUGAGUGAUGAAGGCCUUCGGGUCGUAAAGCUCUGUUGCCAGGGAAGAACGCUCAGGAGAGUAACUGCUCCUGAGGUGACGGUACCUGAGAAGAAAGCCCCGGCUAACUACGUGCCAGCAGCCGCGGUAAUACGUAGGGGGCAAGCGUUGUCCGGAAUUAUUGGGCGUAAAGCGCGCGCAGGCGGUUCAUUAAGUCUGGUGUUUAAGGCAAUGGCUCAACCAUUGUUCGCACCGGAAACUGGUGGACUUGAGUGUAGGAGAGGAAAGUGGAAUUCCACGUGUAGCGGUGAAAUGCGUAGAGAUGUGGAGGAACACCAGUGGCGAAGGCGACUUUCUGGCCUAUAACUGACGCUGAGGCGCGAAAGCGUGGGGAGCAAACA